UCAAGUACCUUACAUACCCAGUUUAAAAACAAUACGAAACAGCCACAUGUUUGUAUUAAUUUUCUACUAUUAAAUCAUACAUAGUAUAAAUUACUAAGAACUAUAUACUUUUAUACCAUGUCCUUAUAACUGUCGGUCAUCAAGUCGAUCAACAUGGUCUACCCUAGAAAUAGUCAACUUUUUAAUGAAAUUACUUUGAUGGGAACCGGACCACUCGGUUGUCUAAAUCCUUUUGUGCCACUGGAGCUGCUGCCAGGGGCGGUGCAAUGGCCUCUGGUGCCAUGACUUGAAGUUUUGGAGGACGAAAUCUGCGAGCACGCGUACUGGGCAUUGCAAGAAGUUUUCAGGUGAGCAAUGUAACCAUGACAUCAUAGUGUCCAUAUACAAGGCUCUAUCAAGUUUCAUACUAUAUGAAUUGGAUAGACUCCAAAAGAUAGAGUUUGGACGACUAAAUUCCAAGUUUAGUGAAGCCGAUCUAUAACUAAA